UUUCUCUCUCUUCUCUCAUUUCUAGAGAGAGAAGCUCUGCCUUCUCUCUAGAAUUUCUUCAUCUUCUUCGACGAGGAGAGGCUACCGGAGAUAGUUCCGGCGCGGUGGUCGGCGAGUUUUCGCGGCGGCGCCACCGCGCCGGAGUUAAAAACUCCUCCUUUUUUUGAUUUUUUUUACCAAAAGAUUACCCUUUCCCUUCUCCUCUCUUUUUUGAAAACGGUUUUUUGAAAUGAGGUUUAACGGACCCUAGAUCUACAAAAAGGGUUACUACCUUUUUAUUGUUUUUUUUUCUUGAUCUGGAUCUGUGUAGGUUUGUUGAUGAGGUUCGGUUUUGUACGGAUUUGAUUUGGUUGCGAUAUGGGUUGCUUGUAUUUAUAGAGCAAAAUUUUGUUGCUUGGAGAGGAGACAUUACAGGCUGGGAUUAGCUGUUUGUGAGCUGUGUUUGGGACUUUUCUUUUGGACUUAUCACUUAAAAAAUAAUAAAAAGGAAUGAACAUGUAUAUUUUUGGAUUUUUAUGGGAAAAUAAAAAGAUAAAUAAGACCAAGGGACUAAAAUUCAAUUUAGAAUUAAAAAGAAAAUUAAUAAAAGAUGGAAGUUUAAAAAAUAGAAGUAGUAAAUAGAAUAAUUGAGAGAAGAGAGCCCGACUCGGAAUCAAAUAUGAGGUAUGACAAGCCGCAAAUCAUAUUUCUCAUUUUGUAGUUAUUAACUAUUUUUUGUAAGUUACAAUGUAAUGAAAAGGAAAAACUGAAGUUUCCCCUAACACUAAUUUCUUGGUUAUUUAAUUCCCAUUAUAGCCGCAAUUCAUAUUUCCCACUAAGUGUUUUUCUUAAUCAGCAUUGCACUAUGAAAUUGAAGUUUCCCACCCUCAACCCUUCAGUUCAGCCGAGCCAUAUUUAAACCCCUCCCUCUUUCGCAUGUCCAUGCUUGCACUAUAUAAGCCAUGUUGCGUGAGCAGCUUGAUUUGCCAUUGUUCCAAGCAAAUUCGUAACAUACCUGUUUCAAGCAUGGGAGAUCGUCCACUCCUAGCAUUGCUCUCCUACCAAUUCCUCACUGGUAUAGCCAUUACUCCCAUAAUAAUCUUGCUUCAGUUGAAAAGGAUGGUAGAUGCAUGAAGAAUUCAGCAGGGUGAAACGAUAAAGAUCGGUGCUCCAGCUCCCGGCUUCAACAAGACUCUCUAUGUUAGUCGUAUGCGUGUUUGAAAAAGAUGAAUGGAAUUUACGAAAUCUGUCAGCUUCGUAUCAAUUUGCGUUUUAAAUUCUGAAAGGAUCUAUUAUGUGGUGCUUUUAGUUUUUUUUCUUUUCAGUAUUGAACUAUGUAUUCAAUCAAUAUGUACGAGUCUUCAUGCUUAAUAUAAUUAUAAAGUUUUUGUUACUUUUACCAUAUGUUAUAAUUGCUUAUAAUUUUUAAAGA